GAUGAACGCUGGCGGCGUGCCUAAUACAUGCAAGUCGAGCGAACGGACGAGAAGCUUGCUUUUCUGAUGUUAGCGGCGGACGGGUGAGUAACACGUGGAUAACCUACCUAUAAGACUGGGAUAACUUCGGGAAACCGGAGCUAAUACCGGAUAAUAUUUUGAACCGCAUGGUUCAUAAGUGAAAGACGGUCUUGCUGUCACUUAUAGAUGGAUCCGCGCUGCAUUAGCUAGUUGGUAAGGUAACGGCUUACCAAGGCAACGAUGCAUAGCCGACCUGAGAGGGUGAUCGGCCACACUGGAACUGAGACACGGUCCAGACUCCUACGGGAGGCAGCAGUAGGGAAUCUUCCGCAAUGGGCGCAAGCCUGACGGAGCAACGCCGCGUGAGUGAUGAAGGUCUUCGGAUCGUAAAACUCUGUUAUUAGGGAAGAAAAUAUGCGUAAGUAACCGCGCCCAUCUUGACGGUACCUAAUCAGAAAGCCACGGCUAACUACGUG
rnacentral:rRNA from 1 species